UCAUUGAUUAUCAUUCAAAGUCGCAACCAUUGAUUAUCAUCCACUCGCAACCUCCGAUUUCGGUUCAUCACGUUUUGAGUCGCAAUCAGAAUUGAGGAGUCGCAACCAUCUCGAUUACGAGUCGCAACCACCUGCAACUCAUCAUCUCGAUUACAGAUCACAGGUUAUCUCCGUCCGACUCCGACCUUCACCGUAACAACUCCGUUCAUCAUCAACUGUCCGACAAUCACCACCGAUCUCGCAUAUCCAACUCGCACAACCAUCUUGUCACGUCCGACGUCCGACGUCUACUGUUCACGUCAAUUGCCAUCAUCUUCUUCGUCUCCGGUUGUCUUCAUCACCAUCACCAUUAACAGUCGAGACGUUUUGUCGGGUUUAAGUGAUAGUCAUCAGUUCACGUUUUGUCGGGUUUAAGUGAUAGUCAUCAGAGCAUCAUCAUCGUGAACCUCCUUCGUUCAUCCAUUCAUCUGCCGUCACUUCCGACACCGUCAACCUCUCCGAUUCGUUGACGUUCAUCGUUUUCAUCUUCAACAACCUCGACCAUCAUCUCCUAACCAGUCGCCAUAACCGUCGCCACCCACCAUAACCAGUUGCCACCGCCACCUCCUCCGUUCACUACAGUUGCCGUCGACCUUAUUUCAUUGCCGUCGACCUUAUUUCAUUGCCGCCACCUACUCCGUUCACUACAGUUGCCACCUCCUCCGUUCACUACAGUUGCCACCUUCACUACAGUUGCCGUCGACCUUAUUUCAUUGGCGGCUGGACUGUUGUCGGCUAAAUCAAGAUUUAGGGUUUCGGGGAUUUGUUAUGUUACGGAGAAGAAGACGACAGGAUUUAUUAUUUGUCGUAAUCAUUGUUAAUCAUUAGAUAAUCAUUGUUUUUAAUAAAUAAUAAUUAUAAUAAUAAUAAUAUUUGU
rnacentral:lncRNA from 1 species